UAAUACGGAGGGCGCAAGCGUUGUUCGGAAUCACUGGGCGUAAAGCGCGUGCAGGCGGCUUGGUAAGUCGGAUGUGAAAUCCCGGAGCUCAACUCCGGAACUGCACCCGAUACUGCCUCGCUAGAGUCCCGGAGAGGAUGGCGGAAUUUCCGGUGUAGAGGUGAAAUUCGUAGAUAUCGGAAGGAACACCAGCGGCGAAGGCGGCCAUCUGGACGGUGACUGACGCUCAGACGCGAAAGCGCGGGGAGCAAACAGGAUUAGAUACCCUGGUAGUCCGCGCUGUAAACGUUGGGUGCUAGGCGUCGUGGGUAUUGACCCCCGCGGUGCCGAAGCUAACGCAUUAAGCACCCCGCCUGGGGAGUACGGUCGCAAGACUA
rnacentral:rRNA from 1 species